CAGUCGCCGCGGUAAUACGUAGGUGGCAAGCGUUGUCCGGAAUUAUUGGGCGUAAAGGGCUCGCAGGCGGUUUCUUAAGUCUGAUGUGAAAGCCCCCGGCUCAACCGGGGAGGGUCAUUGGAAACUGGGAAACUUGAGUGCAGAAGAGGAGAGUGUAAUUCCACGUGUAGCGGUGAAAUGCGUAGAGAUGUGGAGGAACACCAGUGGCGAAGGCGACUCUCUGGUCUGUAACUGACGCUGAGGAGCGAAAGCUAGGGGAGCAAACAGGAUUAGAUACCCGCGUAGUCCCUGUCUCUUAUAC
rnacentral:rRNA from 1 species